AGGGAAAGAAGCAUUUUUCUUCUGCACAGUAAAGUUUCAAAGCUGUAUUAAGUCAAUGUUCAGCUGUAAACUUUUGAAAGAACCAUAACAUUUUGUUCAGAGUUAUGAACACUUCAGAGCUACGAACAACCUCUAUUCCUGAGGUAGUUCAUAACUCUGAGUCAACUGUACAACCAUGUAA